AUCCAGUCAUCAUCGACAUGUAACGCUGUAUGUCUGCGUGCGUUAAGCCUCAAAACGCACUUUGGAAUCAAUGACUUUGCAAAGACAACAUAGAAGUAAACAGCGUUGAUUAUAUUACUUUUUGUCGAGUGAAAUAAAGUAAUAGAAGACUAUAACCAUGGAAAGAAUUACGAGAAACUUCCCAAACCGUGUUGUAAAUAACCUACUAAUAAAGACUUUAUUUAGAAAUGCGUACGUCUGAAAGUCCAAGUAGCAUUUUGACUGAACAUUUGUAACAUUUUGUAACUGCACGUUGUCUUGAAAUAUUUUGUUUUCAUUAUUUUUUUAAAUUUUGUUUUCGUUUCGUUCUUCCGGUCACGUCACGUCACUUCCGACAAAACCAAACAGAAGCACGAGUAUAUAGCUGGAAAGUAAUAUUGAAGUUAUUAAGAUGCUUCAAAGAACUUAUCCAACUUAGUUUUAAGCAGUUUUCCACCGUAACCUGGGAGCCAGCUUGUUUGUUGUCUGGAUUAUCUUGGAUUGUGUUUAUUUACCCUCAAGUCAUGAGUAACGUGCGAUGGACACCGAUAAACGCAAAUGCAGUUCAAAUGAAAGCUUGAGAAGUUCAGCACCAAGUGUUUCUCCCAUAUUUGGUAAUUCUUGCAAAGAUCUCUGGCACAGCACUCCAGUUAAAAAGCAGAACCAUGUCAGAGCCCCGGCAGAGGUCCGUUCUCCAUCCACCCGGCUCACUCCAGGGGGUGGCACAACCUGCAGCCGUCAUGUCUCCCCUGAGCAUAGCGCCAUCUGUAGGCCGCAGCUCCAGAAGGUGACGGCGGGCGCGGCGGUGAAGGCAGCAGUGGCGGGCGGGGCCAUGGCGGCGGGGGUAACCACGGGAGCGGCGGUAACCACGGUGACGGCGGAAAGCGGCGUGGUGCAGAAACAGCGGCGGGAGCUGCAGCUGCUGAUGGUGGAGCUGAAGGACCGGGAUCAGGAGCUGAAUGUCAUGGUGACCGCCCACCACAAGCAGCUCCAGGCCUGGGAACAGGACCGCCAGAGAGUCCUCACCUUGGAGCAGAGGAGCGCACAGCUGGAGGCCGAGCUGCAGAAGCGGAAGGAGGUGAUCCAGGCGCUGACGCAGCAGCUGCGCAUCGCAGAGGCGCGUCAGAGGGACGAGCGCGCGGAGCUCGGCAGCACACGGCUGCAGCUGCAGCAGCUCACCCAGCAGCACCUGCAGGCCAGCAGCCACUGCCAGGAGCUGGAGGAGAGAAGCCAGAGCCUGAACGCCACCAUCCUGGAGCUGUCCUCUCAGGUGGGCCGUCUGCAGGCACGCGAGGAGGAGCUCACCGCCAUGCUCAGCCUGAAGGAUAAGGACGUGCUGAAGGCCACAGACCUGAUCGUGGAGCUGUCGGGGCGGUUCCAGAAGCUGGAGGGAGCUCUGAAGGAGCAGCGCUCGCGGGAGGCCCGGGCCCUGAGGGAGGCCGAGGAGCUGAACCGCCACUGCAGGGAAAGCAGGGUGGAGAACGCCCAGAUCAGAGAGGAGCUGGGGGAGAAGAGAGAGGAGAACAUCCGGCUGAAACAGGAGAACGAGAGGCUGCAGCGGGAGCUGGCUGAAACAGGUGAAGAUGAGAGCCGGAAGGACGAGCUGCUGAAGCUGGCCCGGUCCAAACAGGACCGCACAGAGUCCGAACUGCAGUGCCUGCGUCAGGUGUGUGAGAACCAGCAGAACGACCUGCAGCUGCUGCAGCUGAACCUGGAGAGCGCACAGGAGACACUGAUCCAACACAGGACCCAGGCGUCGCUGGGGAGUCAGGGGGACCUGGCCUCCCUGUUCCUGGACUGCCCCGCCCUGUCACCCAGGAGUGGGCGGAGCCCUGGCCUCACAAACGGCCCCUCCCCAUCCAGAGCCUCCCCCCGUGUCGUUGCUAACGGACACCUGGGAACCCAGCAACGGUCGCCUGACAGCACUCUUGACGGGCGGCUCUCCCCAACGAGCUGUCUAGAGCGUCUGCUGGCUAAGUCCCAGGAGAUGGUGGCCAGCCUAGAGCUUGGCUCCGCCCACAUCCACACGGACCAAUCAGCACGCAUUCCCUUGUAUGACCCCGCCCCCAAGCGGGGUAGCCGCGAGACAGCCAAGGAUGCUACUGCAUGCGUAAAUGCGAAUGCUACUGCCCGUUCACUCUCAGAGCUCCCACGUGUUUCAGAAGAAGAAACUGUGGCCUGGCUUCUCGUGGUCAUUGAAGGUGAAUGGAUGCAGCUUCUGUUGGGAUGCACUGUGGAGGAUUAUGAUUGUAUGUAAAAUGAAGGGUCUUUUUUCUUUUUUUUUUUUUAACAGAGCUCUGAAUUCAGUUUUUGCAUUUGAGGCAUUUAGCAGGUGCUCCAAAGUUGCUCACAUCCAUUUAUAGAGAUGGAUGCUUACUGGAGUAAUUCGGGUUAAGUACCAUGUUCAAUGGUACAACAGCAGUGUCCUACCUGGACAUGAAACCUACAGCAUUGGAGAGGCAAGCUCAGAUUCUUCCUAGUCAAUAGGCUCAAUAUCCACCUCAGUGCUGAUCCUCAUUGUAUGUGUAGUCAGCAUAUCAUUUUGUCAUUCAUAACUUGUAUUUCUUUCCAUUUUUAUUUUGUUAUAAUGGAGCCAAUACAGCCAACUACUGGUGCACGUCGAUGCAGGUGACCUCAAACAAGUUUCUGCUCAUGAAAGCUUAAGAAGUGCACUUUGUGAUGAAGUUGGAAUAAUCAGGAAGUUCAGCCAUGUUUAGUAGAUGAGAUCUUUGUGAAGGAUGCAAAUGAGCUAACUGAUGUUCGCUUCAAACCUGCAGUUCUGAACCAUUGGGACACAACAGGAAGCCAUUUUGUUGACGGCGCCAAUAAAACUGUGUGACCCAAGCGCAUCAGAUGGGCUGAGCCAAUGGGGAGAAUCCACAGGGGCGGGGACCUGGUCUUCGUGUGGGUGCUGUAGAGGUGGACCCAGCACAAGACAGCACACCUGUGGAGUAUCAAAAGUGGACACCUGACCGAACCCAACAGCCACCCUGCCCUGCCAGCAAGGCCAGCCACUCUGCAUUUAUCCAGCAUGGCGGCCUGAAAACCAAAGAAACCAUUUAGCGGUCAUCUCCAAGUCAGAGUUGCUUAGGCAACGUGAAAGUCUUUUAAAACACCUGUUUGCGCUCACACACACGUGGGUACAUUUCUUAAGCCAGGAGCUAGUCUUUGGACAAAUUAUAACUCUUAUUGUAUGACCGAUGAAAAUAAACCUAGCACUCAUACUAUAAUUGUUCCAUAAGAAUAAUGCAUUGUCUCCAGCCAGUGUUCGUAAGGCCUAUGCAAGUUUCAAACGGGUCACCCCUAUGUUCUCAUGUAAAUAUCUGCAUUCAGGCUAAGUGAAAAUGUUAGUGUACUAUUUUACUUCCUGCCAAAAGUAUGUUGAAAGGCAAAUUGGUGACUUAGGCUGAGUAAUUCUUCAGUGUUGAACUGCAUUUUACAGAACCAUUGUGUCCUACAAUUGACUGGUUUCUUAAAAAUGCAUUAUAUUAUAUGAAGCAACUAACUAGAUUGUGACCGAAUUUGAAUCAGUUGUCAUGUAAACUAGUUUUUCAGGAAGGGGUUUUGUUGUAUUCGUCAUGUUCCAGUUUUGGUGGCUGUAAACCUGCCCGAUGGCUAAAGCAGCUGAAUCCAGCCUCUUGGGAAACCACAUUUGCGGGGGGAAAAUACCAACGUUUACACUCAGCUCUUUGUAUUUUUAUACAUGCCAAACUGUAGACACUAAAGCUUAUUCUACUGCAGAUAUUGGUGUUUUUUUAAAACUUGACUAUUUAAGGAGAACUCAGGUCAAAAUGUAGAAAUGGCAGUGUUGUAAAUUAUGCAAUCAGACAUUCGUGUUCAUGAUAGGUCUGAGUGCUGAGCUGGUUUUCAGAUGUAGUUUGCCUGUGGAGAUGGUGAUCAUUUGGGAUUGUUGUCAGAAGCAACAUUCCUUUGUAUUGCACUGGUGUAGUCAUGCCAUUCUCAAGACUAUAGAAGAAUGUGACAUUUUAAAAUGUUCUCUUUGUCUUUUACUUUUGUAUUUUUCUAAAUGUUUGUAUUUUAAUUGAAUUGAAUUUAAGUCAAGUGUUAGUACAUUGAGAAGUACCAAUAAUAACAAUAACAUUACUUCACUUUUAUUUUGGGCUGCUAACAUAUCGAGGAGCAGUUGACAGUUCCAAACCGACAGUAUUCUGUGUAGUGACUGCAUAACAUUUUUUACCUAGAUUUUAUAAGGGUGUUUGUAUAAGCAUUUCUAAAUGUGUCUAUUUUACAACUUUAUUUUCUGUACGUUAGCACUGUGGAGGUGGUUAAUACUGAAUUUUAUUAUUAAAAUAAAAUAACUACAAAGCAAUAA